rnacentral:rRNA from 1 species
UACGUAGGGACCAAGCGUUGUCCGGAAUCAUUGGGCGUAAAGCGCGCGUAGGUGGCUUCGUAAGUCCGUUGUGAAAGUCAAAGGCUCAACCUUUGAAAGCCGAUGGAUACUGCGGAGCUAGAGUACGGAAGAGGCGAGUGGAAUUCCUGGUGUAGCGGGUGGAAUGCGCAGAUAUCAGGAGGAACACCAAUAGCGAAGGCAGCUCGCUGGGACGUUACUGACACUGAGGCGCGAAAGCGUGGGGAGCGAACAGG